rnacentral:rRNA from 1 species
CGGUAAUUCCAGCUCCAAUAGCGUAUAUUAAAGUUGUUGCGGUUAAAAAGCUCGUAGUUGGAGUUCUGCCAGGUGCCGUCUGUCCGCCCCAGUGGUGAGUACGUGACGCGCAUUUGGCCCUUUCAAGGGGAGCGUAUCUGCACUUUACUGUGUGGUGCGGGAUCCUUGACUUUUACUUUGAGGAAAUAGGAGUGUUCCAAGCAGGCUCUCGUCGUGCACAGCUCAGCAUGGAAUAAUAGCAUUGGACCUCGAUUCUAAGCUGUUGGUUGCCAGAAGCGAGGUAAUGAUGAAGAGGGAUAGUUGGGGGCAUUCGUAUUUAACUGUCAGAGGUGAAAUUCUUGGAUUUGCUAAAGACGGACUACUGCGAAAGCAUCUGCCAUGGAUGUUUUCAUUGAUCAAGAACGGAAGUUAGGGGAUCGAAGACGAUCAGAUACCGUCCUAGUCUUAACCAUAAACCAUGCCGACUAGAGAUUGGAGGUCGUUAUCUUUACGACUCCCUCAGCACCUUAUGAGAAAUCAAAGUCUUUGGGUUCCGGGGGGAGUAUGGUCGCAAGGCUGAAACUUAAAGGAAUUGACGGAAGGGCACCACCAGGAGUGGAGCCUGCAGCUUAACUUGACUCAACACGGGGAAACUCACCAGGUCCAGACAUAGUAAGGAUCGACAGAUUGAUAGCUCUUUCUUGAUUCUGUGGGUGGUGGUGCAUGGCCGUUCUUAGUUGGUGGAGUGAUUUGUCUGGUUAAUUCCGUUAGCGAACGAGACCCCAGCCUGCUAAAUAGCGCGGCUGAGCUUUGCUCGGUGCGAGCUUCUUAGAGGGACUAUGAUGCGCGAUAGCACAUGGAAGUUUGGGGCAAUAACAGGUCUGUGAUGCCCUUAGAUGUUCUGGGCCGCACACGGGCUACACUGGCGCCUGCAACGAGCAUAUCAGCUGGCCCGAGAGGGUCUUGGCUAAUCUUUUGAACCGGCGCCGUGCUUGGGAUUGACCUUUGCAAUUGUUGGUCAUGCAACGAGGAAUGCCUUGUAAACGCGAGUCAUCAGCUCGCAUUGAAUACGUCCCUGCCCUUUGUACACACCGCCCGUCGCUCCUACCGAUGAAUGUUCCGAUGAAAUUUUCGGAGAGCGCCAGAGAACGGGGCUCCGCCUUGCAGAUCUGGAGGCUCAAAGUCACUUAAAUCUGAACAUUUCGAGGAAGGAGAAGUCGUAACAAGGUAGCCG